GCGCAGCAGGCGAGAAUCCUUCGCAAUGCGGGAAACCGCGACGAGGGGACUCCCAGUGCCUACGCUCAGCGUAGGCUGUUCCCGAGCCUAGAAAGCUCGGGGAGUAAGGGCUGGGUAAGACGGGUGCCAGCCGCCGCGGUAAUACCCGCAGCCCGAGUGGUGGCCACUAUUAUUGGGCCUAAAGCGUCCGUAGCCGGCCCGGUAAAUGCCUGGGUAAGUCGUGAGGCCUAACCUCACGAAUUCCGGGUAGACUGCCGGGCUAGGGACCGGAGGAGGGAGAGGGGUACUCCAGGGGUAGGGGUGAAAUCCUGUAAUCCCUGGAGGACCACCGGUGGCGAAGGCGCUCUCCUAGGACGGGUCCGACGGUGAGGGACGAAAGCCAGGGGAGCGAACCGGAUUAGAUACCCGCGUAGU
rnacentral:rRNA from 1 species